UUUGCUGAGCUGCUAAUGAUUUAUGGUAAAUGCAAUUAUUUCUGCAAUGAAUUUUCCGUGUCUCCCUAAAGUAAAACUACAAAGCUUUGUUUCAUUAAUUUCUCAAUUAUGUCAAAUUUUUACAUAAUUUAACUCUACCACUAACUUAAUUGCACUUAAUAAUCUAUGUAUUUUAUCUUUACACCUGGAAAUCAAAUACUGUGUUUUGGCAUAUGUCUAAGAAAAAUGUGGACAUUUGAGUAAAAUAAAAUAUUUUUGUCAUUGAGAAAAUAUUUCAUUAGUUGAAUAAACAUUUUAUGAGUUCAACAUUUUAUUAUGAAUUUGUUUAAAUAGUCAAUGAAAGCAAAAAUGAGCUUUCCAAAUGCACUGAAACAACAACAAGAAGUUGCCAAUUAUGAUGAUUGUCUAUAGCCUCAAUUUAAAUAACUAGA
rnacentral:lncRNA from 1 species